AUGUGGAGAGGCGGCGCCACUGCCGCCUCCGCCGCGAGGGCUCUCCGCUCGCGCAUGCUCGGCGACCCCAUCCACCACCCCUCCACGGCUAUUCUUCCCAUCCCUUCGGCGCGCGCCGCCUGCUCGGCACCCUCCGCCGUCUCCCCUGCGCCCAUCGUCGCUGAAGCGGCGGCCGCCUCGGUAGCUGUUUCGUCGGGAGCCAGAUCCGCCUCCGACGUGCUGCGGCACUACGGGUCGUGCUACUGGGAGCUCUCCAAAGCCCGCCUCAGUGCACUUGUUGUGGCAACAUCGGGGGCUGGAUAUGUGCUCGGUAGUGGCAGCAUUGUAGACAUUGCUGGACUUUGCUACACAUGCACUGGUACCAUGAUGGUUGCAGCAUCGGCCAACACUCUCAACCAGGUGUUUGAAAUAAAGAAUGAUGCUAAAAUGAAAAGGACAAUGCGACGGCCCCUACCAUCAGGGCGUAUUAGUCCUGUGCAUGCUGCCAUGUGGGCUACAACUGUUGGAACUGCAGGAACAGCAUUAUUGGCUUGCAAGGCUAAUGACUUAGCUGCUGGGCUUGCAGCAUCCAAUCUCAUUCUGUAUGCAUUUGUAUACACUCCACUGAAGCAAAUACACCCUGUCAAUACAUGGGUGGGAGCAGUUGUUGGCGCCAUUCCGCCACUUCUAGGGUGGGCAGCUGCAGCAUCUGAAGUGUCAGUCAACUCUAUGAUUCUGCCUGCAGCUUUGUACUUUUGGCAGUUACCACAUUUCAUGGCCCUUGCGUACUUAUGCCGUGACGACUACCUUGCUGGAGGGUACCGAAUGCUCUCCUUUGCUGAUCCUACUGGUAAGAGAACUGCAUGGGUUUCACUCAGAAAUUGUCUCUACAUGCUGCCGUUGGGAUUAUUUGCAUAUAACUGGGGUCUUACAUCCGAAUGGUUCAGUUUCGAAGCAUCGCUUCUGACGACGGGCCUCGCCAUCGGAGCCUUAUCAUUUGUACUGGCUCCUAGUCAGAAGAGUGCAAGAAGAAUGUUCCAUGGCAGCCUUUUGUAUCUUCCUGCUUUGAUGGCUGGACUUAUACUGCAUCGGCUGCCUAACGAUCAGAAGGAGCAUAACAACAUCCAUCAGACUAGUGAGAUCGCCGGGGUUCUCCGCGGCGCCGAGCUGUGGGACGAAGAAAGAGCUAGACAGAAACAGGAAGACCUGAAACAUUCUCGUCGUGCUCAAUCACGCCCUCCAGUUGCCUAUGCUUCUGUAGCCCCAUUCCCCUUCUUGCCUGUACCUGUGUACGUCUCUCCAGAAGCUCAUGAGCUAUGA
rnacentral:rRNA from 1 species